UACGAAAGGUGCAAGCGUUACUCGGAAUCACUGGGCGUAAAGCGCACGUAGGCGGACUCGUAGGUCAAUUGUGAAAUCUCCGGGCUUAACUCGGAAAGGUCAACUGAUACUGCGGGGCUAGAGUGCGGAAGAGGCAAGUGGAAUUCCCGGUGUAGCGGUGAAAUGCGCAGAUAUCGGGAGGAACACCAACUGCGAAGGCAGCUCGCGGGGACGUAACUGACGCUGAGACGCGAAAGCGUGGGGAGCAAACAGG
rnacentral:rRNA from 1 species